AAGAUUGAUGGUGGUGGAGCAGGCAGCAAACAUGGUCUUCUGGUAGAUAUUUGGGUGUUGGAGAUGGUCGCCGGAUCUCCGGCGAGGAGGUGGUGGAAGGCUGAGCUGUUGACGAUGUUGGAAAAUCGACGGUGGUGGUGAUGGUGGUAGAAGUGGCGGCGAAGAGUUGAACAAAAAGUAAUGUAGAAAAUAAGAUGAAAGGUCCGAUUGUUUCUUUUCCCCAGCUUUCCUCAUUUUUUUGGGGGAAAAUGGUUUUUAGCUAAAAAAGUUUUCCUCUUUUUCUCCCAAAGUAUUUUACCUUUAAUAAACCAAACAGGAAAAUUAAAUUACUCAGAGAUUUCACCUUUUUACGGCGACUGAAAUGAUAAUAUUUGCAACUCAAAGAAUCCUACACUUUGAGGAACAUGAAACUUUUUACGGCCAGACCAAUCUCCAAUCUCGAGAUCGAUCGACGAAGAAAUGGUAAGUUUUGCUCUAAUUACUUUUUGAUAAACCAUCUCUAACCGAAUUAGCCGAAUAUUUUAUGUGUUGAUGCUUAAUUAAUUAUUAUUUUUCUUCCAUGAUGAUUUCUUUAAAUGGUCAUUUGGUUUACUCAAUCUCCAAAACAUAGCCAAGGUCGUUAUAAACUAGAUAGUUCAAUCGUAGGAUAUGGGGAUCCAUGCUAGCAUACACUAGAAUGUGGAUGAAUUGUUGUUUUGGUAUAUAAUAUAUCCUAUAAUUUAUCCUUAACUAAGUUUGCAAUUUGUAUUUGGUGUGUCAUUAUAUAGUUGUUGAUUAAUUGGUAUUGUUCGCUAGUUUAUUUAAUUUUUGCAGACAAAUACAGUUAGGUGCACUUUUAUGGGAAGCAUUUGCUGAAUAAAUGGAUGCAUAUCUCUCGCCAACGAUGAUCAAACUGGACCUAUGGCGGCCAUUCUUCAAUUUUGCAGGAUUAAUACUUAGGUGAUGGGGCUUAAGAAACGCAUUGAAGAUGUACAAGGGUGGUUAGCAAUUGUUGAUUCAUAAUGAUAUAAAGUAUUAAAUAUGAAACUCUUUAUCUGAAAACAAGUUCUCCAAAUGGGUGAAAUUUUUGAAGUGGUGAUUGAUUAUCUUUGGUGUACGAGAAAAAUAAUAGGUACUCAUGUUGAAUCUCUUGAAUUUUAUAUUACCGAUGAGUAGGGAAUAUGUGCUUGCUCAAAUAAAAAAAAA